rnacentral:rRNA from 1 species
GACUCCUUCGGGUUAUAGGGUCAAGCAAUGAAGCGCACACGGUGGAUGCCUAGGCAGCCAGAGGCGAUGAAAGACGUGGUAGCCUGCGAUAAGGCUCGGUGAGGUGGCAACAACCUGUGACCCGGGCAUUUCUGAAUGGGGAAACCCACCGAUCAUAAGAUCGGUAUCGUGCACUGAAUACAUAGGUGUACGAGGCGAACCAGGGGAACUGAAACAUCUAAGUACCCUGAGGAAAAGAAAUCAACCGAGAUUCCCCUAGUAGCGGCGAGCGAACGGGGACCAGCCCUUAAGCAUGUGACUGAUUAGGCGAAUGCGUUGGGAAGCGC